rnacentral:rRNA from 1 species
CCUACGGGUGGCAGCAGUGAGGAAUAUUGGUCAAUGGACGAGAGUCUGAACCAGCCAAGUCGCGUGAAGGCUGACUGCCCUAUGGGUUGUAACCUUCUUUUAUAAAGGAAUCACACGAGGCCCGUGUUCCUUUUUGCCUGUACUUUAUGAAUAAGCAUCGGCUAACUCAGUGCCAGCAGCCGCGGUAAUGCGGAGGAUCCGAGCGUUAUCCGUGUUUAUUGGGUUUAAAGGGAGCGUAGAUGGGUUUUGAAGUCAGUUGUGAAAGUUUGCGGCUCAACCGUAAAAUGGCAAUUGAUACUGGCAGUCUUGAGUACAGUUGAGGUAGGCGGAAUUCGUGGUGUAGCGGUGAAAUGCUUAGAUAUCACGAAGAACCCCGAUUGCGAAGGCAGCUUACUAAACUGUGACUGACAUUGAUGCUCGAAAGUGUGGGUAUCAAACAGGAUUAGAUACCCUUGUAGUC